GGUAAUGGCUUACCAAGGCGACGACGGGUAGCCGGCCUGAGAGGGUGACCGGCCACACUGGGACUGAGACACGGCCCAGACUCCUACGGGAGGCAGCAGUGGGGAAUAUUGCACAAUGGGCGCAAGCCUGAUGCAGCGACGCCGCGUGAGGGAUGACGGCCUUCGGGUUGUAAACCUCUUUCAGUAGGGAAGAAGCGUAAGUGACGGUACCUGCAGAAGAAGCGCCGGCUAACUACGUGCCAGCAGCCGCGGUAAUACGUAGGGCGCAAGCGUUAUCCGGAAUUAUUGGGCGUAAAGAGCUCGUAGGCGGUUUGUCGCGUCUGCCGUGAAAGUCCGGGGCUCAACUCCGGAUCUGCGGUGGGUACGGGCAGACUAGAGUGAUGUAGGGGAGACUGGAAUUCCUGGUGUAGCGGUGAAAUGCGCAGAUAUCAGGAGGAACACCGAUGGCGAAGGCAGGUCUCCUGGGCAUUAACUGACGCUGAGGAGCGAAAGCAUGGGGAGCGAACAGGAUUAGAUACCCUGGUAGUCCAUGCCGUAAACGUUGGGCACUAGGUGUGGGGGACAUUCCACGUUUUCCGCGCCGUAGCUAACGCAUUAAGUGCCCCGCCUGGGGAGUACGGCCGCAAGGCUAAAACUCAAAGGAAUUGACGGGGGCCCGCACAAGCGGCGGAGCAUGCGGAUUAAUUCGAUGCAACGCGAAGAACCUUACCAAGGCUUGACAUGAACCGGUAAUACCUGGAGACAGGUGCCCCGCUUGCGGUCGGUGUACAGGGUGGGGCAGGGAAUGUCGUCAGCUCGUGUCGUGAGAUGUUGGGUUAAGUCCCGCAACGAGCGCAACCCUCGUUCUAUGUUGCCAGCACGUGAUGGUGGGGACUCAUAGGAGACUGCCGGGGUCAACUCGGAGGAAGGUGGGGACGACGUCAAAUCAUCAUGCCCCUUGUGUGUUGGGCUUCACGCAUGCUACAAUGGCCGGUACAAAGGGUUGCGAUACUGUGAGGUGGAGCUAAUCCCAAAAAGCCGGUCUCAGUUCGGAUUGGGGUCUGCAACUCGACCCCAU
rnacentral:rRNA from 1 species